CACCACAUACAUGUUGUAACGCUGCCUAUGUUGGCAGCGGCCACCAAGCAGACACCGUAGCUAAGAAGAGAGAGAGAUACAUGCCCAAGCAGCUCAUUCUACACAGCAGCCAGCAAGACGGUACCCCUGUGCUGGAAUGUUCUCACUCAAAGAGAUGCCAAGGAUAUUCUAGAGGAAUUCUAAACAAAGAGCCAAGUGUUCAAGUUCAUGCCUACAUUAUUACACGUUUUAUCCUUUCCUAAAAAUUUUGAAGCGCAUGAUGAGAAGUGAUAAAAAUAACUGGUGAGGUUGGAGGAGCCAUCCUGUAUGAGCC
ensembl:lncRNA